rnacentral:rRNA from 1 species
CCUACGUGCGGCAGCAGUGAGGAAUAUUGGUCAAUGGACGAGAGUCUGAACCAGCCAAGUAGCGUGAAGGAUGACUGCCCUACGGGUUGUAAACUUCUUUUACAUGGGAAUAACACAGUGUAUUCAUACCCGUUUGUAUGUACCAUAUGAAUAAGGGUCGGCUAAUUCCGUGCCAGCAGCCGCGGUAAUUCGGAGGACCCGAGCGUUAUCCGGAUUUAUUGGGGUUAAAGGGAGCGUAGGUGGAUUGUUAAGUCAGUUGUGAAAGUUUGCGGCUCAACCGGACACUUGCAGUUGAAACUGGAAGUCUUGAGUUCAGUAGAGGCAGGCGGAAUUCGUGGUGUAGCGGUGAAAUGCUUAGAUAUCACGAAGAACUCCGAUUGCGAAGGCAGCUCACUGGACUGCAACUGACACUGAGGCUCGAAGGUGUGGGUAUCAAACAGGAUUAGAUACCCUGGUAGUC